rnacentral:rRNA from 1 species
UACGUAGGUGGCAAGCGUUGUCCGGAAUUAUUGGGCGUAAAGCGCGCGCAGGCGGUCCCUUAAGUCUGAUGUGAAAGCCCACGGCUCAACCGUGGAGGGUCAUUGGAAACUGGGGGACUUGAGUGCAGAAGAGGAAAGUGGAAUUCCAUGUGUAGCGGUGAAAUGCGUAGAGAUGUGGAGGAACACCAGUGGCGAAGGCGACUUUCUGCUCUGUAACUGACGCUGAGGCGCGAAAGCGUGGGGAGCAAACAGG